rnacentral:rRNA from 1 species
GCACCCCGGUGAAAAUGCCCUCUAGGUCGCCUAAUGACCUAAAGGAGCUGGUAUCAAGCACACUACUAUAUGUAGCUCAUAACACCUUGCU